UUCACAAAUAGAACUGACUUCCUGACGUUAGUUAAUGGCGCGAGCAGUGUGUCAUUCUUAAUGACGAAAUUAAUUUAGCGUCGCGAGCGUUGUAGUCAGUCUGUCAGCCCCGCUAAAAGGCUGGUGUCGUUACUCUGCCUUCUCCGGGGGAUGUUGAGAUUAACUCAGGUUGGAGUUGGAGCUGUGACCGAAAGGUGGCUGGUUCGAAUCCCGGGCCGGGCGCUGGAAAAAACGGGCGGAAUUGAUCUGACCACUGGAGGGCUGCUGGGUUCACAUCCUCAAAACAUGAACCUUUUGUUGAUCAGAACUCUAGAGGUUCUUCUUCACUGAACCCAAAUAUAUAUAUAAUGUUUUAGUGGUUCCAUAUAUUAAGGAAGUGAUAGAAGCCUUUUUGGUUCUAUAAGGAGCCUUCCUUUCUAAGAGUGUAUAAUAAUAAACACGUUGUUCUUCUGAU